ensembl:lncRNA
UGUGCAGUGUCCUACUCAGAAAGGUACUGAUCACUUAGAGGACAAGUAGUCACUGCCUUUCUGGGUAGAAUGAUGCACAACAAGAACAACAUUGAUGGUGGCCUGUAGCAGUGACAGCAGUGGAGCUUCAGGUGUCCUUCAGCUAGCCUGCCUUGUAAUCAGGGGAGUCCUGACACCCACCUGGAUCUCAGGCAUCCUCAAGAUGAUUUCAGUGGGCCAUUCCUACUAGUGUGCUCUCAUAGAGGUUAGAGAAGAUGGAAAAACCUUCCUAAUGCAAGAUGAGGAAGUAGGGACAAGCUUGCUCUGUUUGGAUCCUCUUAGUCAUCCGCUAAACAUAGAGCAGUUGAGGGGAUUCUCACUAUGGGAAGGUUGCUGUUGGAGGGCAAUGGGUCUUCACUGUCUAGGGUUAUAGAAAACCUUGGCUGCAGUCACUGUGACAUGCUUGGGACACAGAGGUGAAAGGUACUUUUGAAGAUGUGAGGAGAACUGGGCAGAUACUCCAUUUUGAUCCAUUCUGUGUGCAGUGCCCUACCCAGCAAGGUACUGAUCACUUAGACGAGGUAUGAUCAGUGCCUGUCUGGGUGGAGUAAUGCUCAACAAGAACAACAUUUGGGAGGGUCUUCAGACUGGUGCUGGGGAAGGAGAUGGAUGUGUCUGUAAGGUGCCUGCCUCCAACUCUGGGGGGUCGUGCAGCCUCCCUGGUUGGAUCUCAGGUAUCGAAAUGAUGAUUUCUCUGGUCAAUUUCUAAUAAUAUCAACCCUGUGUUUGUCCAAGCUGAUGAAGAUACUGGCUUAGAGAAACGUAAAUUUCAUAUGACAGCACGAAGGGCAUUGUGGCGAUCCUCCGGCUUGAAGCCAUGCUUCAUGCAAUCUCCAGCCCACAGUGGCGCUCCUCAUUACGACUACAUGGAAUUGUUACCAGUCUGGGACGAGUGAUGCUAAGCCAAACGACGUUUGUGGCGGGCUUUGUAUGAGUGCUGAGGUUGGAGGUGGGUCCUUGAGCUGCCUAACUUGAACUCACUAGGGCCAUGGCUGCCAACUGAAUCCCCUGCAUCCACCAUAUCAUUUCAUUGCUACACUCGUAAUAAUGUGAAUGUUUAGAUGUCAGAGUAGAUGAAGUUAUUUCCUAGGAGAAGAAGAGAAAAUAGGAGCAAGCUUGUUCCCUCUUGGAUCUCGUGAUCAUCCAGUAACCCUGGAUAUGGUGAGAGGAUUCUCACUAAUGGAGGGUUGCGAGUCAGAAGGUAGUGAGUUGUCAUUUUCUAUGGUUAUCUAAACAUCUUGGGUACAAUCAUCAUGAUGUGGAGAGGAGAGAGAUGGAAUCUACAUUUGAGAAUGCAUGUAGGACUGGGCAGCUUGUCCACCUUGAUCCAUGCUGUGCGUUGUGCCCUGCCUGAAGGAUGCCGAUUACUUAGACUAGGUUUAAUUGGUGUCUUCUUGGUUGAGUGAUGAUCAUUAAGAAAAACUGUUGUCGUAGCCCUAGGACCAGUAAUUGCGGUGGAGGUGCAACAGUCCUUGAGCUUCCCUUCUUGAACCCACCUGGAUCUCACUCAUCCUCAAGACCUUUAGGGUCUAACUAUGCCAUGGGCCAAUGAGGGUUAUCCCAAUUGAUAUCAGAAUGCAUUCUCAUAAUGUAUCUUGCUCAGCCUCUAAAUACCGAGUAAAGGAAACAAUCUUGGUUUUGGGUUUUGUGGGAGAAAUUUGCAAGUUUCUUCAUUGAUACCUGGAAAAGAUGUGAUAGGUUUAUAUGUAACCAUCAUAUUUUUAGAUUUUAUUGAUAUGUUUUAUAAUUUUGUAUAUUUAUCGUUUUUUCUGAUAAGUGGUUUUCUUGUGAACAUGCCUUCUAAUUUUUUUCUAUUUUUCACCCGUCCAUUUUACUCUUGACACUAAUUGCUGUUCUAGUUGUAUGUGGUUCUGAAAUUGUUUUCAGUGAAAUUUUAUUUCACGUAAUCUCUCUCUGAAUGCUUUAAGUAAUUAGCAAUCUUGAAGUUUUCUCUUGCAAAGGUUUAUUUUAUUCAGAGAUCUAAGCUCUAAAAUAAUGAUUUGAAAUGGCUUUGUGUCCUCAUCCAGGUUUGCUAUGAGCUCUUCGUAAAACAGUAAUUUCUAGAGAAAUUUAGGUAUGAGUAAUCGAUAGUUUAACUAAUGUUAAUAAUCAGAUAUAUGUUUUUUUAUUAAGAGAAAUGUUUUCGUUAUGGUCAAAUAAGAAAAUAUAUAUGAGAAAAAUCUGCAUGAAAUUCUGAAUUCUAUUACCUCAUUGCUGAAUAUGCGUGUUCCCUUUAUAGCCACCGUCUUGAGGGUGUCUUGGUUGCUUGCUUAUGUCCAAACUUAUCAAGCUGUAUGCACUAACCGGGUGCAGUUUUUGGUAUAUCAAUUAUACCUCAAUAAAGCUGUUAAAAAAAGAAAGAAAAACAAAGUAUAUUACCUCCUAAAUAAGCAUUCCUUCAGCAAGUGAAUUAUGAUUACUACUGCCAUCACCCCUGCUGCUGCUCCUCUGAGUUUAACUAGUACUGAUCCUACUCCUGCUCUGUUUAUUUGGAGCACAGACAACACUUUACGUGGUCACCUUUUAACAGGGUGGUAUCCCUGGCAAUAUUCAUGGCUAUAGGACCUGGCUAUAUCACAUAUGACAUAACUUUUUUAAGAAAUAAUGUUGUUCUGUUGAUACAUAUGGAUAUUUUAAAAUUCUCAGCAAGUUGAGUAAAAUGAGGAAAUGAUUUUGAUAAUUUAAUAAUACCGUGUAAGGAUCAUGCUCUUCUAGAACACAUAUUUCGCCAAUUCCGUAUGCUUGGUGUUCAUCACACAGCUAUAUUUUUCAUGUUACACGAAAGAUGUAGAUACCCAUGUUUAACUGUAAUUUCCAGGGCAUAAUGGUUCAUUUCUGUUUCAUAUAUUUAUUGAUAUAUAUAUAUAUAUUUAAUUUGCUUAUUCUUUAGAACACUUCAUUUAUAUUCAUGCCUGGAUAGAUUCAUUUUCAUUCAAUUCAAGCCUUGAAGACUGAGGGAACACAUUGUGGAGGGUAUAGGUUAAUGGCUACAAAUGACAAAAAAUUUUGAUUUUUUCAGCCACAAUUUCAAAUUAUACAGUAGGGCUUUAUCCAUGCCUCUGUUGCUUUGAACUCAGCUUCUCUUCUUCAUCCAUGUUGACACUCUUCAGAUGAUUGCAUUUUAUAUUGAUAUGCAUUUUGGUUCCUGCUAUUGUUAUCACUCAAUUAUUAUCUUCUUUGUUUAGGUCACUCUUGAGUUUCACCAGGUUAGACCUGAUUGCACUGCUGAUUUUAAAGUUGUAAAAGAAGCAACAUUUUGUUUGUACUACCUGGAGUAAGGUUGCUUCCAGUUGAUGCAGUUCCUUUUCCUUGCCACUGGGACCCAAGACACCUGGAGAACUCUAGCAUGAAUGAUGGGCAGGGGCAGAGUAAAAUUGCUUUUCACUUAAAUGCAGGAUUUCUUUGUUUACGUGUGAGGAAUUUGCUUUGAUAGUGGUGGAAAUUAAUGAUAUGAGAAUAUAGUCAUUGAUGUGUCUUUCACUAGGUUACAGAAACAUUUAGAAUAUAUCUCCUCACCUUUAACACCAAUUCUAUAAUUAAUAACAAUUUUUAUGAUGAAGUGUGUUGAGGAUGAAUUUAACAUGUGAAUGAAAUCUAAGCACCCGGAUUGGCAGGUAAGUUAGCAUUAAGCCAGUGUUAAAGAUGGUCGUUAUUAGUGUUUAAUAAUUAUGGCUGUCUUAACAUUAAAAUUUAUGACCGUUUUCUUACAGAUAGGAAGCACUGGUGAGAGUAAAGUUAAGAGACUUGGUUAUUUCCCCCAUAGAAAGAGAGUUGAAUAUUCAUGUUGGAGUUUUUUGUAUUAUUUUUUCAUGAUAAAAAUAUUUUUGUCUCACAGUGACCAGAGAAUCAAAGAGAUAUAUGUGGAUAGAUCUGCAUAUUCCACAUUUACAUUUUAAUAGUGUUUACUUUGUUAAACCUUAAUGUUCAAAUCCAUUUUCUCCUUUUGAACAAACAUAUACUGUGGUGUUUAACUUUGUGUGUCAUCUUGGCCAGGCUGUGGUACCCAAAUUUGGUCAAACACGAGUAUAGAUGUUGCUGUGAAUUAGGAUUCAAAUCAGUAGACUUUAAGUAAGGCAGAUUACCCUCUAUAGUGUGGGUGAGCCACAUCCAAACAGUUGAAGGCCAGGUCCCCCAAGGGAGAGGAGAUUCUGCCUCCAGACUGCCACAGGGACUCGAGAUGCAACAUCAGCUCUUCCCUGGGUCUCCACUCUGCCAGGCUGCUCUGCAGAUUUCAGACUUACCAGCCCAAACAAUCACGUGAGCCAAUUCCUUCAAAUAAAUCUCUUUUUCUCUCACUCUCCUCUUUAUGUUUGUGUGUGUAAAUCUGAUUGGUCCUGUUUCUCUGGAGAACCCUAAUACAUAUUCCAUGUCAUCUUAAAAGAAGCUGACAAGGGGCCAGCCCAUUGGUGUAGUGGUUAAGUUCACACACACUGCUUCGGUGGCCAGGGGUUCGUGGGUUUGGAUCCCAGGCCAAGCCUACACACCACUUGUCAAGCCAUGCUAUGGUGGUGUCCCAUAUACAAAAUAGAGGAAGAUUGACACAGCUGAUAGUUCAGGGAAAAUCUUCCUCAAGCAAAAAGAGGAAGAUUGGCAACAGAUAUUAGCUCAGGGCCAGUCUUCCUCACCCCCUCCCAAAACAAGAAAGAAAAAGAAAAGAAACUGACAUGUAUUUCUGUGAGUAUGUGUAAUGUGGCUUCAUUUUUCAACAGAUGGGAUUAUGCCCUGAGCUUUGUGUAAUAUGGUGAAACCAUGAGUGUGAAAAAGACUGAUAUCCUACUACAUCAAAUGCUUUUUCUGGUUAAAGUUUAAAAUGUAACUAUUUCAUGGUAUCAACUUUAAGGUUAGUGAUAGAAACUAAGGAUGCAAUUUUUUUAACCUUUUACAUGUUUUCCCUUAUGCUGCAACAACACACAAUUCUUUUAUAGCAAAGUCUCUGUGAGUUAUUUGGGCAAUAACUCCAUAUGUUGAUUACUUUCUUUAAUUUUGAUAUUACCAUGUAGGAUCUGGUUUGUGAAAUGAUCCUCCUCAUUCUUCAUUUUUGAGGAUUUCUGGGAUAAUCUGAUUCAUUUAUAUAUAGGCAUUAAAAAAUAGCAUUACUUUGUCAAAUUUCCCUGAAUGUAACAUUUAACUUUCUGACAUUGCUUUUGCAAUGAGGGACUUUGGGCAAAAUGAAAAUCUUUACAAAGUAGAACUUGCUCAUCUGAUGUGAGUAUGUGCUAUACAGAUUUUGUUUUCUUCAGGAAAGUCAUGCUGUGGUCUUCAUAGAUAGGUAGAAUGAAUGUUAUAGGUUUAUUCCUAGCAUUUCUAUUUCUAUUUCUUUUUGUGUUGAUUAUAUUCUUAUCCCCAUCAUUUGUGCUGACUGAUUAUUGGUGGUGGACAGUUAACAUGCCUACUUUUGCCAACUCAACUUACAUCUCUAUCAUUUUGUAUCAUUUUUAGCCCACUUUAGUUGGAGAAUUGCAUUUAAAGGUUUUAUGAAGUAGAAUUAAAUAAACCUUCUAAACACGUAGACCUUUUAUCAACUGCUUUACCAUAGAGUAGCAAAAUAGGUGGAUAGCACCUUAAUUGUUAACUUUUUAAAUCACAUCUUCCUAAGUCUUUCUCAGACUUUCUUUUAUACUGAUUCAUUUUUACUCUGAGAACUUGGUGGUAACAUCUGGAUUUUUGAAGGACUUGGCUUCCAGUACAUCCUGUGUCAUCACUGUGUCCUCCUGAGUCACUGCCCUCUGGAGACUUUUUGGUAUGAAAAACAGGACACUGUAGUGUAUGGGUUACUUUUAUCUCGUCAGAGGAAUUCCUGAAAGAAGCUCUUUUUUGGUAGUCUGGUUCCAAAAGUAUUUUCAGAUGUUGCCUCAUGACAAAUCAGGGCUGUAGAGUUACUAAAAGUUUAUUCAGUUCUGGGUUGUGAGUGUCUAACCACAGAAAUGUUUCAUGUACCUUGUCUCCCAGAAGUGUUGGAAAUAGGAUCUAGAAGCCUGAAGUGAGACAUAUGGCCAUCUGGCCAGUGCUGCCACCAUUAAGAAGCCAAACAGCCUCUCAGAUAAUGAAUUGCAAUAUCUUGUAUAUUUGUUUUUUAUCUAUUUACAAUUUUCUGAACUACUUUAUCAUUUUUCAAAAAUUUUCAAUUGAUUCUCUGGGUUGAUUACGAUAAUAUUGUCUGUGGGUUUUAUGUAUUGAUUUUCUACAUUGACUUUUUAAACAAUGUUUUCUCAGCCUAACUAGACAAAAUCAGUAAAACUGAACACUGAAAACAUAGUAACAUCCCCAAGCAACCUCCCUCUUCUGAACUUUUUCUUUAGGCAUUUUUUAGAACUUCAGAUCAUUUGCAUCAUUCUCCAUGCUGAAACACACAUAUGUAUACACAUGUAUAUGCAUGUAUGUAAAAUACAUUUUGUGUGUGUGACAGAAAAUCUGACAGUCACUGCUCAAGCUCAAAACACACAAGCAGCUCUCUCGCUUGAUUUCAUAUGACAUUCAUUGGGAUUUAUUAUUGUUAAAAACAAUUUAUCAGGGGCUGGCCAGGCCACGUAGUGGUUAAGUUUGCACACUCUGCUUUGGCUGCCCAGGAUUUGCAGGUUUGGAUCCUAGGCGCGGGCCUAGCACCACUCAUUAACCCAUGCUGUGGCGGCAUCCCACGUAAAAUAGAUGAAGAUUGGCACAAAUGUUAGCUCAGUGACAAUCUUCCUCAAGCAGAAAGAAGAUUGGCAACAGAUGCUAGCUCAAGGCCAAUAUUCCUCACGCCCCCCAAAGAACCUUUAUUUUUUCACCUAAAUAUGAAUUUAUGAUACAGCAUUUUAGCUGUCAUUUUUAACUAGUGUUUCAUAUUUGUUGACAUUUCUUUCAAGGUAAAAUCUACAUACAGUGAAAUUUGCAAUUCUUAAGUGUACUUUCAAUGAGAAUUUACUAAUUCAUAUGCCCAUGUAACCCAAGCCCCUACCAAGUUAUAAAAUAUUCCAUUCCCCCAAAAUUUCCUCAUGCCGUUUCCCACUCCAACCUGAGGGAAUCACUAUUUUAAUUUUUUUCUACCGCAGAUUAAUUCUACAUGUUCUAGAACUUCAUGCAUGUGGGAUGAUGUGGUGUGUAUUCCUCUGUGCAUGACGUUUUUCUUUCAUAAGCAAACUGUUUUUUAGAUCUACCCAUUUGGUGUAUCAGUGUUUCACUACUUCUUAUUGCUGAGGAGUAUUACAUUAUAUGAAUAUAUCACAGUUUGUUUACCCAUUCUCCUACAGAUGGACACCUGGAUUAUUUCUAGUUUUGGGUUAUUAUAAAUCUGCUAUUAACAUCCAUGUACAAGUCUGUGGACAUACAUUUUCAUUUCUCUUGGAUAAAUACUUAAGAAUGCAAAUACUGGUUUAUAGGGAGGGGUAUUUUUAGUUUUAUGAAAAAUUGACAGACCUUUGCCCAAAGUCUUAUAAACCUUUAUGCUGCCACCAACCAUUAUAUAACAGUUCUGAUUGUUCAGCAACUUCACCAAUAUUUGCAAUUGUCAGCCCUUUUUUACUUUUAGCCAUCUUGGUGGAGUGUAUUGGUAUCUCAUUGUGGUUUUAGUUUGCAUUUUUCCUGACACCUAAUGAUAUUUACGUAUCAACUUUUCCUUCUUUAUUGUUUAUUAAUGUAUAAUUUUAUAUAGAAUAAAAUUCACCAAUUUUAAGUGUAAAUUUUGAUAGAUUUCAGUAAUAGUAUACAACUAUGUAUACAUUGUCAAGAUACAGAACAGUUCUAUCAUCCUAAAUAAUACCCUCAUGCUCCCUUGCAUUCAAUCUUCUAUCCCAGCCCUGGACUCAGGCAACCAUUAGAAUGCUUUCUCAUAAAAUAGGUCUGCCUUUCAUAGCAUUUCAUAUAAGUGAAAUCUUUUUCAUUUUAUUUCUUUCACUUAGCAUAAGGAAUUUGAGAUACAUGUAUGUUAUUGAAUAUAUAAAUUGUUUAUUCCUUUCUCUUGCUGGAUUGCAUUCCAUGGUAUCAUGUACCAUAAUUUGUUUAUUCAUUUACCAGUUUUUGGAUGUUUGAUUUGCUUCCGUUUGGGGGCUAUUAUGAAUGAUGUUGCUGUGACUGUUCUUGUUCACAUUUUUGCAUAGAAAUAUAUUUUCAUUUCUCUUGGCUAAACAUCUAGGAGCAGAACACCUGGGUUGUUUAGUACAAAUAUAUUUAACUUAGAGUAUUGCCAUGCUGUUUUUCCAAAAUGGCUAAACAAUUUUGCCUUCACACCAGCAGUGGAUAAGAGUUUUACUUUCCCCAAAAACUCAACAACAGUUGGGAGUGUCAGUCUUAUUUUAUUUUAUCCAUUCUAGUGUGUAUGCAGUGGUAUCACAUUUUGGUUUUAAUCUACAUUUAUCUGAUGACUAUUGAUGUUGAACAUCUUUUGUACAAGUUUAUUGAUCACAUGUCUAUCCUCUUUUCUGAAGUGUCUGCAGAUUUGCUUAUUUAUUUAUGGCAUUGUUUGUCUCCUUACUAUUGAAUUGUAUAAGUUCUUUAUAUAUUCUAGAUGCAGUCUCUUGGUUGGAUCUGUGUUUUGGAACAAUUUUCUCCCAGUUUGUGGCUUGUAUUUUGUUUUCUUAGCUAUGUCUUUCUAAUAGCAUAUUUAUUAUCUUGAAGUCCGUUUUAUUAAAUUUUUCUUAUAUCUUUUGUGCUUUUGGUGUUCUAUUUAACAAAUAUUUGACCUGAUGUCACAGAGAUUUUAUUCUAUAUUUUUUAUAGAAGUUUAAUAAUGUUCCUUCUUAGCGUUAGCUCUAUGAUCCAUUUUGAGUUAACUUUUGUGUAUGAUGUGAGGUAAAGGUAGAGGUUCAUUUUUUUUCAUACAGAUAUCUAAUUUUUGCUGUAUCAUUUGUUGAAGAGACUAUCUUACCUCAGUUGAAUUUCACUGGCAAGUUUAUCAAAGAUAAAUUGAUCUAAUUUUUUUGAGUCUAUUUCUGGACUCUUAUCUCCAUUCCAUUGAGCUGUGUGUUUAACCAUAAAACAAUACCACAUUGUCUUGAAUCCUGUAGCUUUAUAGUAGUUAUUGAUAUCAGAUAAUAUAAAUCAUCCAACUUUGUUCAUUUUUGGAAGUUGUUUAGAUAUUCUAAGUCCUUUGCCUUUCUACGUAACUUAUAAAUUGAAAUUGCCAAUUUAUUCAAAAAAGCGUCUUAGGAUUUUGAUUGAGAUUGCAUUGAAUCUACAUAUUAAUUGAGCUAGGACCUCCAGUACGAUGAUAAAUAAAUGCACUGAAAGUGAGUAUCUUAAACUUCUUCUCAAUCUUGGGUAAAAAUAAUUGAGCCUUUCACCAUUGGAUAUGUUGUUAGCUGUAUGUUUAUCAUAAAUGUCUUUAAUUAGUUUUCCCUUCUAUUUAUAGUUUGUUAAGAGUUUAUUUUUAAAAUGAAAGGAUGUGUAAUUUUGCC